UGAAGUUUUCAGGAGAAGUUCCAUCUAUCCAGUUUUUAGGAUGGGAGAGGAUGAAUCUGAAGUUGCUACUAAGGAGGAGGAAUGCUCUCCACAUCCUCAGUCUGUACCAAUUGAAAAGUAUCCACAACAAAUGGACAAGCAGGUGUCACAGGUACAUUGAUGGAACAUAGGAAGCUACCUUUUACUGAGACUAUUGGUUCAACUAGCUCAGUAUUGUCUCCAGCCCUACCUGGAGAUCCUGGGGACUGAAUCUGGGUCCUUCAUCAUGCUAAGCAGAUUCUCUACCAUUGUGCUAUGGCUCUUCCCUGACUCUGCCAUAACUGUGGUAUCCAAGUUGGAAUGGAUAUAACCUGCAAAGUGGUCACAAUGGUUCACCGAGUUGCACUCAACUUUUCCCCGGAGAAGAAGACGUAACAGCCUCUUCACCAAUUGGGAAAGCUCCCCUUGGUGACUCUGUACUGAUGCAAUGGUGCUGGAAAACUAAGAUGUAUUUGCCACCAUCACUGUCCAGGAUAGGCUCCAGAAUGUGUAGCUGGUGUUCAGCCAGAUUUGUCACAGGUCUUCUGCUACAAUUGCUCUAGUUACCACCCCUGUUUUUUCUUUUCAUCUGAAACCCUUCUGCCAUUUCCUUUGGUGUAAAGGAGCACUUUUAAAAAUAUGUAUUUGUCUCAUUAAUCAGUGAUAUA